rnacentral:rRNA from 1 species
ACUACGGGUGGCAGCAGUGAGGAAUAUUGGUCAAUGGGCGGAAGCCUGAACCAGCCAAGUAGCGUGCAGGAUGACGGCCCUACGGGUUGUAAACUGCUUUUAUACGGGAAUAACGCGCCUUACGUGUAGGGCUUUGCAUGUACCGUAUGAAUAAGGACCGGCUAAUUCCGUGCCAGCAGCCGCGGUAAUACGGAAGGUCCGGGCGUUAUCCGGAUUUAUUGGGUUUAAAGGGAGCGUAGGCCGCAUGUCAAGCGUGCUGUGAAAUGUCCGGGCUCAACCCGGGCCUUGCAGCGCAAACUGGCGUGCUUGAGUCCGCGGAAGGCAGGCGGAAUUCGUGGUGUAGCGGUGAAAUGCUUAGAUAUGACGAAGAACCCCGAUUGCGAAGGCAGCUUGCUGCAGCGGAACUGACGCUGAUGCUCGAAAGCGCGGGUAUCGAACAGGAUUAGAUACCCGUGUAGUC